rnacentral:pre_miRNA from 13 species
GGGGCUCUCAAAGGAAAUGCUGUGAAAUACACAUAGGGGUUUCUUUGUUGUACCCAGGCGAGUUAAGGAAACGCCACACUUUGAGACGAAUUAAGAGUCCUUUAUUAA